AUUCCAGAGCAAGAACAGGUUCCUGUCUGGCAGCUCUAUUUGAUUGUAUAUUUGUGGCUUGGGAUGGAAACAGGGAGCAAACCAGAAGAGCUGGGAGACGACUGGAAAAUGCAAACAUACAGCUUCAUGACUGCAACUAUUUAAUGAAUGAAAGAGAUAAAGUAGCCGGAAAAUCCCAGGUCUUGGACCAGGAAAUGUGAAAUGAACCAGCAAAGAUGCUUCAGCAGGCCUGAAGAGACUGGGAACACCAGAUGAAAGAGAACAGGUACCUGUAAAGAGCAGUGAUACAGUCAGAGGAAACAAUAAAAGUAAGUUGCUGAUGAAUAGCUAUCAGAACACAUUCCCAUGAAUGCUGAGUGGUCAGCAUGUCAAAGUCCGGCUCCAUUGAGCAAGAUUUUUGUCUCUUCAUGGGAAAAUAAGAAGUGCUUUUAAAGUAGUGGCUAGAGCCCUAAAAAACAAUUAAUAGAACUCUUCUCAUUAGCUACAUCUGGCAUAGAAUGAGCCUGGCUUUGACAGGGUUUUUCCAUAUAUGUUUCGAACUCUACAGAAAAUGACUGUAGGGGAGCUGAUUCCAGGCAAAAGAAUCAACAUGAUUAAAUGAGCUGUGGGAGGAAAA
rnacentral:lncRNA from 1 species